rnacentral:rRNA from 1 species
UGACUGGGGUGAAGUCGUAACAAGGUAGCGCUAGGGGAACCUGGCGCUGGAUCACCUCCUUACACGA